GACGAACGCUGGCGGCGUGCUUAACACAUGCAAGUCGAACGGAAAGGCCCUGCUUUUGUGGGGUGCUCGAGUGGCGAACGGGUGAGUAACACGUGAGUAACCUGCCCUUGACUUUGGGAUAACUUCAGGAAACUGGGGCUAAUACCGGAUAGGAGCUCCUGCUGCAUGGUGGGGGUUGGAAAGUUUCGGCGGUUGGGGAUGGACUCGCGGCUUAUCAGCUUGUUGGUGGGGUAGUGGCUUACCAAGGCUUUGACGGGUAGCCGGCCUGAGAGGGUGACCGGCCACAUUGGGACUGAGAUACGGCACAGACUCCUAAGGGAGGAAGAAGGGGGGAAGAUUGCACAAUGGGCGGAAGCCUGAUGAAGAAACGCCGCGUGCGGGAUGACGGCCUUCGGGUUGUAAACCGCUUUCGCCUGUGACGAAGCGUGAGUGACGGUAAUGGGUAAAGAAGCACCGGCUAACUACGUG
rnacentral:rRNA from 1 species